rnacentral:rRNA from 1 species
AGUUGAUCCUGGCUCAGAACGAACGCUGGCGGCGCGUUUAAGCAUGCAAGUCGAGCGGCAAGGGCCUUCGGGCCCCUAGAGCGGCGGACGGGUGAGUAACACGUGGACAAUCUGGCCCCCCGGCCCGGGAUAGCCCCAGGGAAACCUGGAUUAAUACCGGAUGAGACGGGACCCGCGAUGGCGGGACCCGGGAAAGGCGCUGCGGCGCCGCCGGGGGAUGAGUCUGCGUCCCAUUAGCUAGACGGCGGGGUAACGGCCCACCGUGGCGACGAUGGGUAGCCGGCCUGAGAGGGUGGACGGCCACAUUGGAACUGAGACACGGUCCAGACUCCUACGGGAGGCAGCAGCUAAGAAUCUUCCGCAAUGGGCGAAAGCCUGACGGAGCGACGCCCGCGUGAACGAAGAAGGCCGUGAGGUUGUAAAGUUCUUUUCGGGAGGGGGAACAACCGUGGCAGGGAAUGGCCGCGGGAUGACGUGAAUCCCGGAAUAAGCCCCGGCUAACUACGUGCCAGCAGCCGC